rnacentral:rRNA from 1 species
GGACGAACGCUGGCGGCGUGCUUAACACAUGCAAGUCGAACGAUGAAGCCCCUUCGGGGGUGGAUUAGUGGCGAACGGGUGAGUAACACGUGGGCAAUCUGCCCUGCACUCUGGGACAAGCCCUGGAAACGGGGUCUAAUACCGGAUACGACACAGGGAGGCAUSUCCUCUGUGUGGAAAGCUCCGGCGGUGCAGGAUGAGCCCGCGGCCUAUCAGCUUGUUGGUGAGGUAACGGCUCACCAAGGCGACGACGGGUAGCCGGCCUGAGAGGGCGACCGGCCACACUGGGACUGAGACACGGCCCAGACUCCUACGGGAGGCAGCAGUGGGGAAUAUUGCACAAUGGGCGCAAGCCUGAUGCAGCGACGCCGCGUGAGGGAUGACGGCCUUCGGGUUGUAAACCUCUUUCAGCAGGGAAGAAGCGCAAGUGACGGUACCUGCAGAAGAAGCGCCGGCUAACUAC